GGUGUUUACUGUCGAACUGAACACUCUACCGUUUACUGUCUGGUGGUGCUCUUCACCGAGUGCCACCAGUGGUCGGUACGUUUACUUUGAAAAAAUUAGAGUGCUCAAGCGGUUUUACACGACCGAAUACUGUUGCAUGGAAUAAUGAAAUAGGACUUUGGUUCUAUUUUGUUGGUCUUCGGAACCAAGGUAAUGAUUAGAGGGACAGACGGGGGCAUUAGUAUUGCGACGCUAGAGGUGAAAUUCUUGGACCGUCGCAAGACUAACUAAAGCGAAAGCAUUUGCCAAGAAUGUUUUCAUUAAUCAAGAACGAAAGUUAGAGGUUCGAAGGCGAUCAGAUACCGCCCUAGUUCUAACCAUAAACGAUGCCAACCAGCAAUCAGCCUGUGUUCUCUUGAUGACACGGCUGGCGGCUUCCGGGAAACCAAAGUCUUUCGGUUCCAGGGGAAGUAUGGUUGCAAAGCUGAAACUUAAAGGAAUUGACGGAAGGGCACCACCAGGAGUGGAGCCUGCGGCUUAAUUUGACUCAACACGGGGAAACUCACCCGGCCCGGACACUGUGAGGAUUGACAGGUUGAAGCCCUUUCUUGAUUCAGUGGGUGGUGGUGCAUGGCCGUUCUUAGUUGGUGGAGUGAUUUGUCUGGUUAAUUCCGAUAACGAACGAGACUCUAGCCUACUAAUUAGACCGUGGCGUCCUCGUGCCGCCACGGCGCUUCCUAGAGGGACAGACGG
rnacentral:rRNA from 1 species